ACAAAAGUAUCUAUAUCCACAGUAAAAUGAGUCCUAUAUCGACAUAACCUGAAAAGCCGCUCAGCAAGGAAGAAGCCACUGCUCCAAAACCGCCAUAAAAAAGCCAGACUACGGUUUGCAUUCAUUCUCUCUACUAUUAUUCUGACAUUUCACAUUCUUAAAAUAAAGUGGUGAUCCUAACCGACAUAAGACACUGAAUUUUUACUAGGAUUAAAUGUCAGGAAUUGUGAAAAACUGAGUUUAAAUGUAUUUGGCUAAGGUGUAUGUAAACUUCUGACUUCAACUGUAUGUGUCAAAAGCAUGUCUAAAUGUGGCAGGAGGUCAAGUAGAAAUCAAAGCAAACAUAAAUAGGCUAUUUGAGUGCUCCCUGAGCAGGCCUCCUUUCCGGGAACAGACAAGUGCUUUUUAUCGCCAACGCACACACAUUAUAGCUAUUUUCACGUAUCCAUCAUACCUUGUACCAAAGCAUAAUGGCAUUCGAACAUCCAACGGUUCCCUACAUAUAAUAUAAAUAGCUCUCUCAGUCCCAUGUCUCAAUUCCCAUGCAAAUCAAAUGGGUGUGUGAUCCCUCUCCACUGUCAACAUCUUCAUCAACAUCACUGACUCCGGUUGAAAUCAGACUCUUUCACAUGAAUGACUUCAAACAAAAAGAAGGUGGUAUGUUCUCUUCUCUAAAUGGUUUUAUUUGCUCUUUGUCACUAUUCUGUCUUUAGAACGUCACUCGCUCUGUCUAGCGCAUUGAGAAAUAGCUCUAGCAGCACUGACUAAAUAAGAUUGAUGCCUCAAUCCUUGGGAGAUAAAGGUGAAAAUUACAAAUGUGCAGCAAAAGCAGACAUCUUCUAGGGAGAGCGAAAAACACAUUGGUUACAACUGACAGCCCAUUUAGAAUAAAUGUAUAUAAUUUUUCCAUAGUCUAGACAGAAUCCCAUCAGCCCUGUUUGAAUGUUUCAGCAUUUCAGCAGCAGCAGUGUUGUGCCAUUACAAUGCUGUAUGGGUGGGAAAGUUAUUAUCAAGCAGGCAGUGUGUGUGUGUGUGUGUGUGUGUGUGUGUGUGUGUGUGUGUGUGAGGAUGGUAUGAUUUAUUGAUCUGCUCCUCAUAAUAGGGGGAAUAACUCCUCCGGGCAUGGUAAUGACUGCAAAACAGCCCUAUCACAGCACUUAGCUAAGAGUAACAGUCUAACAGCCUUUGCUAAGGCAAUUUCUUUCAAUAUCAAACUGGGAAUAGCAAAAUGAUUAACACAUAUUAAAUGAGGCGUGCUACUGUUUUUCUCUUUAACAGGAGAUGGGUUUUGGGUAACACUUUGAGAGUAAAUAAUAAAAAGGACACUGCAUAUUUUGCUAAGUGUUUAAGUGUUUUCAUAGUUCCUUCAGUCGAUCCCAUCCUGCUUGCCUAAGGCUUACAAUAACACUCACUUUUUACACUUACUGUGCAAACACCACGUCAGAGAAAAUGAAAGACCUUGUGCACAAGGACAGUGCCUCCUUUCAAUGGCUACUCUAUAAGCACAAACACUCGCUCCCUUCAAGAUGACUCAAUAUCCCAUAGUUUGACUNNNNNNNNNNGUGUGUGUGUGUGUGUGUGUGUGAGGAUGGUAUGAUUUAUUGAUCUGCUCCUCAUAAUAGGGGGAAUAACUCCUCCGGGCAUGGUAAUGACUGCAAAACAGCCCUAUCACAGCACUUAGCUAAGAGUAACAGUCUAACAGCCUUUGCUAAGGCAAUUUCUUUCAAUAUCAAACUGGGAAUAGCAAAAUGAUUAACACAUAUUAAAUGAGGCGUGCUACUGUUUUUCUCUUUAACAGGAGAUGGGUUUUGGGUAACACUUUGAGAGUAAAUAAUAAAAAGGACACUGCAUAUUUUGCUAAGUGUUUAAGUGUUUUCAUAGUUCCUUCAGUCGAUCCCAUCCUGCUUGCCUAAGGCUUACAAUAACACUCACUUUUUACACUUACUGUGCAAA
rnacentral:lncRNA from 13 species